GACGAACGCUGGCGGCGUGCUUAACACAUGCAAGUCGAACGAUGAAGCCGGAGCUUGCUCCGGUGGAUUAGUGGCGAACGGGUGAGUAACACGUGAGCAAUCUGCCCUUGACUCUGGGAUAACUGCGGGAAACUGUAGCUAAUACCGGAUACGACACCUUGGGGCAUCCCAGGGUGUGGAAAGAAUUUCGGUCAAGGAUGAGCUCGCGGCCUAUCGGCUAGUUGGUGAGGUAAUGGCUCACCAAGGCGACGACGGGUAGCCGGCCUGAGAGGGUGACCGGCCACACUGGAACUGAGACACGGUCCAGACUCCUACGGGAGGCAGCAGUGGGGAAUAUUGUACAAUGGGCGAAAGCCUGAUGCAGCAACGCCGCGUGAGGGAUGAAGGCCUUCGGGUUGUAAACCUCUUUUAGCAGGGAAGAAGCGAAAGUGACGGUACCUGCAGAAAAAGCACCGGCUAACUACGUGCCAGCCGCCGCGGUAAGAC
rnacentral:rRNA from 1 species